CCUACGGGUGGCAGCAGUGAGGAAUAUUGGUCAAUGGGCGCGAGCCUGAACCAGCCAAGUCGCGUGAGGGAUGACGGCCCUACGGGUUGUCAACCUCUUUUGCCGGGGAGCAACGGGCGCCACGUGUGGCGCCACUGAGAGUACCCGGAGAAAAAGCAUCGGCUAACUCCGUGCCAGCAGCCGCGGUAAUACGGAGGUGGCGAGCGUUAUCCGGAAUCAUUGGGCGUAAAGAGGGAGCAGGCGGCCUGGAGGGUCUAUUGUUAAAAGGCAAUGGCUUAACCAUUGUAAGGCGAAGAAACCGGCAGGCUAGAGUUCUAAAGAGGAUCGUGGAAUUCCAUGUGUAGCGGUGAAAUGCGUAGAUAUAUGGAGGAACACCAGUGGCGAAGGCGACGAUCUGGGAAGAAACAGACGCUGAGUCCCGAAAGCGUGGGUAUCGAACAGGAUUAGAUACCCGGGUAGUC
rnacentral:rRNA from 1 species